rnacentral:rRNA from 1 species
AAUGAACGCUGGCGGCAGGCCUAACACAUGCAAGUCGAACGGAUCCUUCGGGAUUAGUGGCGGACGGGUGAGUAACGCGUGGGAACAUACCCUUUGGUACGGAAUAGCCUCGGGAAACUGGGAGUAAUACCGUAUGUGGUCGAGAGACGAAAGAUUUAUCGCCAAAGGAUUGGCCCGCGUUGGAUUAGGUAGUUGGUGGGGUAAUGGCCUACCAAGCCGACGAUCCAUAGCUGGUUUGAGAGGGUGAUCAGCCACACUGGGACUGGGACACGGGCCAGGCUCCUACGGGGGGCAGCAGGGGGGAAUCUUAGACAAUGGGGGAAACCCUGAUCUAGCCAUGCCGCGUGAUCGAUGAAGGCCUUAGGGUUGUAAAGAUCUUUCAGGUGGGAAGAUAAUGACUGUACCACCAGAAGAAGCCCCGGCUAACUCCGUGCCAGCAGCCGCCGUAAGAC